UGGAUAAUGAAUUGCCCAAAGAAGAAGAAAAGGAAGAAAAUAAAAAGGGAACAACGCAAAAGUAGGUUGUUAAGAUCAUAUGUCAUUGAUUUGCAAACUCAAUCUCAUUAUGUUGCUCAAGAAGGUCUUCGACAAAUUCUUCUUCUAAAGAACUUACAUCAAUAUCUUUUUCAGUCUUGAGUAUAGGCUAGACCCUCAUUAGACACAACAAAACCUUCAUAAUCAUUAGACAACAAAACCUGCAUAGUUUCUUGAAAACAAAUAAACCUUGAAGAGAUGCUCCUAGAACACCAUAGUUUGUCGAGAUUUUCUCAAUCACCGAUCCAAAGCCACUGCAAAAAAAAACCCCAAAAACUCACAAACAAUCAAUGAAAAGUGCAAGAUUAAUCAAAGAAAUGAAAGUAUGAUUUUCCAUGAAAGUGAAAAGGAAAGAGAAAAGAAAGUGAGAAGUAUGGUAAAAAAAAA
rnacentral:lncRNA from 1 species